GCUGGGUGUUGUGGCGGGUAUCUAUAGUCCCAGCUACUUGGGAGGCAGAGGCAGGAAAAUCGCUUGAGCCCAGGAGUUGGAGGUUGCUGUGAGCUGUGAUGCCAUGGCACUGUCCCAGGGCGACAGCUUGAGGCUCUGUCUCAAAAAAAAAAAAAAAAAUUGAAGUGAAAGAGUAAGCUAUUUCAUCAUCUUCAGACCCUUGGACCAUGUCAUCUAAAAAGGAAACCUUAUUAAGAGCAAGUCUUUUUUCUUUUUUUUUUUUGAGACGGAGCCUCAAGCUAUCCUCCUGGGUAGAGUGCCAUGGCAUCACAGCUCACAGCAACCUCCAACUCCUGGGCUCAAGCGAGUCUCCUGCCUCCG
rfam:Otolemur garnettii contig060673, whole genome shotgun sequence.